rnacentral:lncRNA from 13 species
GUGCACUUCACCAGAAUAUUCUCCAGCCUCAUCUUCUGAAUGUCUGAAGGAAAUCCAAAUGGAAGAUAAGACAUCAAGAAUUUGUGUUAAUCAUCCAUCAGCCUUCUUUGUCCUCAGAAUAAAACCACUGGGCAGGAAACUAGGCUGCUCUGGUCCCCAGUCCUUGCCCACAUGGCCACCCAGCCAUCUGAUUCCUAACAAAACCCGAGACAGUGGCCAUCCUAUCCUUUUCUAAGAAGCCUUCAGAAUUCAUAAUUGGGUCAUGUCCUACCUGAAAUCAUGUUAACAAAGCUAAGAAGUCCCAAAUCCACCCAGCAGACAAAAGAGAGAAAGAAUGUUUACUUAGACAAGAGCUGGCCCCCAACUGUGAUGUUUUAAAAGCAGAGGAUGCUGUCGAGCGCCAGCGCCAUUAGCAGAGCUUCUGCUGACCCCAGCCGACCCCAGCAGAGGCACACAGCUUGAUGGCAGGAGUUGUAUUUUUGUUUACACAAAUGGGUUCAGAUGUCACCUAAAGUCCUGCAAGCUGCUUUUUAAAGUAAUUAUCAUGAACAUCAUUAAUUUUUAUUGUUAUGAACAUCCUUCCCUUCUGUACAUGCAAAUGUACCUCAUUCACUUUACAAGCUGCCUGGUAUUUCAUUAAGUGGGUGCACGUAAUUCAUUUAAGUAAUCUGCUCUUAUUGGACAGCUGAGAUGGUUUCAAGUCCUUCCAAAACCACGAUGAAAAUUCUCAUGCACACUUCUGUCAGUGUUCCCUGGCAAAUGUGAACACCUUUUCCCUCAGCUUUUUCACAAUAAGCACCUUGUGCACACAUCUCUGUGCAUAUGUUUGAGUAUUUCCAAGACUAUAUUUUUGAAGCAGAAUUGUAUAGUCAAAGCGGAUGAAUAUUUUUAAAAUCGACUGCCAAAUUGCCUUCCAAAAGACCUUACCAAUUUAUAUAUCCUCACCAAUGAGAAAAAGAGGGCUUCUGCUUCCCUCAUAUCCACUAACACUCUGGUUAUUUUUGACGCUUUAAUUUUUGCCAAUUUGUUAGGUGGAAAAUAGAUUAAAAAUAAAAGAAUUGCAUUUCCUUGGCCA